AGUCGAACGGUGAAGCCCUUCGGGGUGGAUCAGUGGCGAACGGGUGAGUAACACGUGGGCAAUCUGCCCUGCACUCUGGGACAAGCCCUGGAAACGGGGUCUAAUACCGGAUAUGACCUGGGACCGCAUGGUCCCGGGUGUAAAGCUCCGGCGGUGCAGGAUGAGCCCGCGGCCUAUCAGCUUGUUGGUGGGGUAAUGGCCUACCAAGGCGACGACGGGUAGCCGGCCUGAGAGGGCGACCGGCCACACUGGGACUGAGACACGGCCCAGACUCCUACGGGAGGCAGCAGUGGGGAAUAUUGCACAAUGGGCGAAAGCCUGAUGCAGCGACGCCGCGUGAGGGAUGACGGCCUUCGGGUUGUAAACCUCUUUCAGCAGGGAAGAAGCGCAAGUGACGGUACCUGCAGAAGAAGCACCGGCUAACUACGUGCCAGCAGCCGCGGUAAUACGUAGGGUGCGAGCGUUGUCCGGAAUUAUUGGGCGUAAAGAGCUCGUAGGCGGCCUGUCACGUCGGAUGUGAAAGCCCGGGGCUUAACCCCGGGUCUGCAUUCGAUACGGGCAGGCUAGAGUGUGGUAGGGGAGAUCGGAAUUCCUGGUGUAGCGGUGAAAUGCGCAGAUAUC
rnacentral:rRNA from 1 species